UGGUUUCUUGUGUUCUUGUGUUCUGUGCCUGUGUUUGGUGUGGUUUCUCAGAGUGUCUACCCCGGAUCUGCGACACCUUGAUGCAUGUGUUUCGUCCACCAUCUCUGGAAAAUGGAUGACGCCAUAGUGUCUCAGAGCUGCAUUUGGCUGCGGUUUCCACUUUUGACGUGGUGGAGUGUAGUCAUCUUCGCUGUCACUUGCUAAUCCUGCUUGGGCCUGAGUAAUCACCUCUUCACCAAGGAGCAGUUUGAAGUCAAGGAACUUCAGUGGUUUCUUCCCCAGAAAUUGGCAGUCACUCUUAUACUGAAGCCAGCAGAGUGAAAAAGGGUUGUGGGGGACAGAAGCAGGAGCUGAUCCUAGCAGAUAUUGGAUACACCCUCAACAGGUCCUGACCCCAAGAGUCCAUCCAUCUCACAUAAAACCAUUUCUAUGAGAGGUAACAGUACUGAUGAAGUGUUCGACAACAUAUUUAAUGUUGUUCUUCUGGGCCUAACGGGGACUGGAAAGAGUGCAUCUGCAAACACCAUCCUGACUGCCGGAAACCCCAAUCCUGGUUCAGUUUAACUUUUUAAAUCAGAGCCGAGCUCCAUGCCAGUCACAAUGCAUUGUGAGGUCAGAAUAACAGAACAGCCAUUCGGAGGGAAUGUGAGAUUGGUCGACUUCUUUCACGACGAAGUCAAAAACCCCCAGGUGCAGGUAGGAAUGUGCAAGAAGUUCUGUCGGCAAGGGGAAUGUGUAGUGUUACUCGUGUUACAGCUGGGUCGGAUCACGGAUGUCGAGAAGGGAAUAAUAGAGAAGCUGGAGAACAAGCUUGGCUGGAAAAUCAGAGAAAGAACAAUCGUCUUGUUGACCCAUGGAGAAGACCUGAAAGGAUCUUGAAUCUGUUGAAUAACUACUCCAAGGACACUAAGCAAGUCACUGAGCUCAUCAAGAAAAUUCCAAAUUGUAAAGCCCUUUUUCCAAAGUUCAAAAAUAAUUCGUCAUGCUGUAUAUGUUAGCUCGGCUGUAUGUGCUGAUCAGUGCACUACAAAUGAUAAAGUGCUUUAAGAGUGCUCCACUGUGUAGUAUUGCACUCCUGUAACGUUGUCACACUCACAAUGGACAAUUUUCUUUAAAAGAAUGGUUAAAUCAAUACAGUAGAAUCAUAAAUCCUAUUUUUAUUUCAUACAUUGUUGAUUUCAUACAUUGUUGACAUUGUGAUUUUUCAGAUUCUCUGAGCAAUGUGGUCUACUUUUCCUUUUUCCUUCCUUAUGGACUUUCACACUUUGACCUCAAUGGAAAAUGAGGUAAAGGAAAAGUGUUUAGCAAAGGACAUGGGAAAUAGUUUUUUUUGACUGUUUGACACAGCCAUUGUGUCUCAAAGGGUAUUUGAUGGUUUCAGCAAUUGACUCUAAAAUUCCACAGCUGUCUAUGUGGGUGAGUGUAUGUGGGACAAACAUUCAAGACUAGUUGCCCAACUAAUACUAAUAUAUACUAAUAGCAGGUUAUCAAAUAAAUAUUUCUGUUUGUAUGUGUUUGGUAAGUUUAAUGAUAAAGUACAUACUGUGUUGAAUUUGGUUAGUAACAGACAAUCUGAAGAAUUACGUGUUUUGAGAUACUGAAAUGAAAAAUAGAAGGGGAAAAGACAAAAACAUUUUGUAGAGUGAGGGUGAGAAACUUUUACUGGACUAGGUAUAGGAAUGAAAUUUGGAUUGCAUGAGGGAUAAUGCAGGUCUCAGGUCAGUUCUUGCAUAAAUCAUGAAUAAAUCAUACUCUUGAAUUGAUCAUGCAUGUAUGCUCAAAUUACAUUAAAAAUAACAUUACAACAAUAUUGUUCAGAUUUUAACACAACUGCACUGAACAGACAGACAGGUAAAACAAAAAGUAAAAGACAGUUGUCAGGCAAUUGGUCAUCUAAGCUAAGAUGGUGUAUUUGGAUUUAUUGCAGUUCUUUUAUCUGAAUAUAUGUAUUUACAUUUGCAUGAAUUAUCAUAUUUCCUAACCAAGAUGUACAUAAAUAAUCAGUAAAACGUGACUCUGACUGAAAGAUCUGAUUAAAACCUUCCUGCUCAGAGGGUGAAGAGAUCUGUGAUCAUCCGUCUAUGUCUGCA